CUCCGAGUCCCAAAUUUAUCUUGGAGAACUCAGCCGCCUGCCCGGGGAGGCUGACAUUUCUCAAAAAGUUGAUUCAGCUUGUUAAGGAGGAGAGAGGCUGGGCUGUCUCGGGGGACUGCGCUGCCUGCUUGCUCCGUCUGCAGCUGUGUGCAUGAGCGGGGGAACAAGCAGGCAGCUAACGAGGGCCCAGGCACAAACAACCCAGAGCCAGGAUGUGGGAGGAGGAGAAGAGACGGCGAAUUAGGCACUGGGGUUUCAAAGAAACCAAGGGAGAGAGGAAAAUGUAUAUACGAAGCUUUCCGGGCGUUAAGCUGAGGAGAGGAUUGGUCAGGAGGGAAAAGUGAACCAGAAAUGGCUUAGCUGUAGUUGAGAGUAGGGAACAAAAUGAUAAACCAUAAAUAAAUAAUAAUAAUAAAAAAAACCCUUUCUGAUUCCCUUAGGAAAAAGUCAUUGCCUUUUCUGACUCGGUUCCUGCAUCCUUAAAACAGGGAUCUGGACUGACCAGCCCUGCUGCAGAUCCCACAUUCGUGGCCUUGGAUUUCCAGCAGAACAAGCCUCUCCCUGUGCCAGAGGCACCUCGGCUUUAUGGUUUUUCAGUGUUACACUUUGCAGCACUGGCAGGUUUGCAGCCAAAUCCUUCUUGUGCAGAGCUAGCCUGACGCUGCGUGUGGCUCGCCUCCCGGCAGGCAGAAACGACGUCCAGGAGCAACCUUCUCCGUGCCACCACUGAUGGGGUGAAUCUAUGGAGUUAACUGCUCCCGAGGGUACUCACAGCGAGAUGCAGGCUUCUCUGGCUGCAGAAAUCAUGACCCAGAGCAUGGUUGAAGGCAGAGCAUCUUCCUCUUCUUGCCACCAAGCAGCAGCACCUAACAGGACAACAAGUGUCAUCUUUUUCAGGCCCACCCGAAGACCAGCACGUCUGCUGGAUAUUCUCCGAGUGACAGCAUUUUCUCCGAGUGAGAGCACAGACAAGAAGAGUCUGAACAGGAGUCAGAUCUGUAGCUGUCCUAAACAAGAGCAACACCAUCAGUGUCAAGCUUGA
rnacentral:lncRNA from 1 species